GAUCCUGGCUCAGGAUGAACGCUAGCGGCAGGCCUAACACAUGCAAGUCGAGGGGUAGAGUUCUUCGGGACUUGAGACCGGCGCACGGGUGCGUAACGCGUAUGCAAUCUACCUUAUACAGGGGAAUAGCCCAGAGAAAUUUGGAUUAAUGCCCCAUAGUGUUAUCGAAUCGCAUGGUUUGAUAACUAAAGUUCCAACGGUAUAAGAUGAGCAUGCGUCCCAUUAGUUAGUUGGUAAGGUAACGGCUUACCAAGACAAUGAUGGGUAGGGGUCCUGAGAGGGAGAUCCCCCACACUGGUACUGAGACACGGACCAGACUCCUACGGGAGGCAGCAGUGAGGAAUAUUGGUCAAUGGGCGCAAGCCUGAACCAGCCAUGCCGCGUGCAGGAAGACGGUCCUAUGGAUUGUAAACUGCUUUUAUACAGGAAGAAACCCUCCCACGUGUGGGAGCUUGACGGUACUGUAGGAAUAAGGAUCGGCUAACUCCGUG
rnacentral:rRNA from 1 species